GACAACCCUGAAGAGUAAGCUUGAACUAAACCCAUGCUUUGAAGCGAAGAAAAAAGAAAAGAACAAGGUCUAGCGAGUUUUUAGUAAGCCUACAAACAGCUCCAGUCAUUUGCAGCCCUCGUGAUGGACUACUAACCGAAAACCUCUAUAAGAUUCGAAAAUAUUGAGAAAACAAUUCUCUAAAGAAAGAUUAAGCAAUACGUGUAGUGUUUGU
rnacentral:misc_RNA from 1 species